GGCUUAGUUCAGUGGUAGAAUACUUGCCUAACAUGUGUGAGGUCCUGGGUUCAAUCCCCAGAACC
rnacentral:tRNA from 1 species